GUAUAGAAUGAAGUGUCCAAGCGAGGAAGAAUUCAAUGGAAAUCCCACGAAGGAUCUGGAAGAAAGCAGAUGAAGAAACACUGAGCAAGGCAAUUCAAGAUGGAAACUGGAGUUCCUUGGAAAGGUCAAACCUAAAGAAGCAGAUCAGGCAAUGGAUUACAGAAUGAUGGAUCAUAAGGAUAACCAGAAUAUGGUUCUAUUAUGCCAGAGAACAAGAGAGAAAGGGAAUUGACAAAAGGGAAAGAUGGAUUCUCCAGCUUAGCAGAGGAGGAAGCUAUAUAUUUGGAAAUGAAGGUGAUAUAAAAACAAAUGAUACCAAUAAAAAAUUUUAAUGCACUCUUUAAAAAGAAAAAGGAAGAUUUCCUCCUUGGCAAAAACUUGUUCUUAAAGAAUUAUUUGUAAAUGAAAGAAUGGAAAAGAGGAUUUAUUAAGUACUUCUUAUAUCACCUUUCUACUA